UUUGGAAACCUUGUAGUUGUGCUUAAAGUACGAUUUGCAGAAGAUCCACAAAUUAAUCAAGUCUUAGAAGCUAUAGAUCAAGAGGUACCUACAAAUGAUUCUACCGGUAAAGAUCAUCAAACUACAAACAAUCUUAGCUAGAGUCUUGUUCCUUUUACUUGAAUGAUGAUUUGGAAAGCCCUCGUGCAAUUGGACCCUUCUUUAGGCUCUCACGGUCAAGGAAAAGAUGAUGGCAGCAUCAACCACAUGAUUAUUCUGUUUGUGUCCCCACUAUAAAUAUAUAAUUGGGUCAUCUAAUUGAUCUUUUCUGGAUGGGAUCACCUAAAUGAAUUAUUGAUUAACUGGACCAGCUUGUGAUAAUAUAUUGUUAAAUUUACACGUCC